rnacentral:rRNA from 1 species
GGAUUAGAUACCCUGGUAGUCCACGCCCUAAACGAUGAGAACUAGAUGUUGGAGGAGUUUAAUCUUUUAGUAUCGUAGCUAACGCGAUAAGUUCUCCGCCUGGGGAGUACGGCCGCAAGGUUAAAACUCAAAUGAAUUGACGGGGACCCGCACAAGCGGUGGAGCAUGUGGUUUAAUUCGAUGCAACGCGAAGAACCUUACCUGGCCUUGACAUCUUCGGAACCUUGUAGAAAUAUAAGGGUGCCUUCGGGAACCGAGUGACAGGUGCUGCAUGGCUGUCGUCAGCUCGUGCCG